AGUCACUGACAUUAGAUACCCGCGUAGUCCAGGGUGUAAACGCUGCAGACUUGGUGUUGGAGGCCCUUUGGGGGCAUUCAGUGCCGGAGAGAAGUUGUUAAGUCUGCUACUUGGGGAGUACGUCCGCAAGGAUGAAACUUAAGGAAUUGGCGGGGGAGCACCGCAACGGGAGGAGCGUGCGGUUUAAUUGGAUUCAACACCGUAAAACUCACCAGGGAAGACUGUUACAUGAAGGCCGAGAUGAAGACUCUGCUAGAUUUUUCAG
rnacentral:rRNA from 1 species